rnacentral:lncRNA from 1 species
AAAAAUUCAUAAAAAAAAAGUUAUGUAGGGAAAUAUUGUAGUAAUCAAUAAUGUUUUAAAGAAAAAACUACAGAACUAAAUUUUCAAUCAGUUCAAUAUUAAAAAAAAAUCAACAAAGAUAAUUUAAAAAAAAAUACAAAAACAAAAAAGAAUAAAAAAAAAUAAGACAAUCUUGGGUAAAAAAAAACAUGUAAAACAAAAAAAAAGGGAAAAAAUGAAAAAAAUGUGGGGGGAAAAAAAAGAAAAAGACAAAACAAAAAAAAACAAACAGG